GAGUUUGAUCCUGGCUCAGGACGAACGCUGGCGGCGUGCUUAACACAUGCAAGUGGAGCGACGAACCAGGCUUCGGCCUGGGGCAAAGCCGCGAACGGGUGAGUAACACGUGGGUAACCUGCCCCGUUGAUUGGGACAACCCCGGGAAACCGGGGCUAAUACCAAAUGUGCUCUUGACCCAUAAGGGUCUCGAGGAAAGGAAGCUUCGGCCUCCGCAACGGGAUGGGCCCGCGGCGCAUUAGCUUGUUGGUGGGGUAAUGGCCUACCAAGGCUCCGAUGCGUAGCUGGUCUGAGAGGACGAUCAGCCACACUGGGACUGAGACACGGCCCAGACUCCUACGGGAGGCAGCAGUGGGGAAUCUUGCACAAUGCGCGAAAGCGUGAUGCAGCAACGCCGCGUGAGGGAAGACGGCCUUCGGGUUGUAAACCUCUUUCAGUUGGGACGAAGCCUUGCCGGUGAAUAGCCGGUUGAGGUGACGGUACCUUCACAAGGAGCCCCGGCUAACUACGUGCCAGCAGCCGCGGUAAUACGUAGGGGGCAAGCGUUGUCCGGAAUCAUUGGGCGUAAAGCGCGUGUAGGCGGCUCGGUAAGUCCGCUCUGAAAGUCCAGGGCUCAACCCUGGGAUGCGGGUGGAUACUGCCGGGCUCGAGUCCGGAAGAGGCGAGUGGAAUUCCUGGUGUAGCGGUGAAAUGCGCAGAUAUCAGGAGGAACACCAAUGGCGAAGGCAGCUCGCUGGGACGUGACUGACGCUGAGACGCGAAAGCGUGGGGAGCAAACAGG
rnacentral:rRNA from 1 species